CAGCCGCCGCGGUAAUACAGAGGGUGCGAGCGUUAAUCGGAUUUACUGGGCGUAAAGCGUGCGUAGGCGGCUUCUUAAGUCGGAUGUGAAAUCCCUGAGCUUAACUUAGGAAUUGCAUUCGAUACUGGGAAGCUAGAGUAUGGGAGAGGAUGGUAGAAUUCCAGGUGGAGCGGUGAAAUGCGUUGAGAUCGGAAAGAACACCAACGGCGAAAGCACUCUGCUGGGCCGACACUGACACUGAGAGACGAAAGCUAGGGGAGCAAAUGGGAUUAGAUACCCCUGUAGUCCCUGUCUCUUAUAC
rnacentral:rRNA from 1 species